rnacentral:rRNA from 1 species
GUUAGGAAUAUUGGACAAUGGGCGCAAGCCUGAUCCAGCCAUGCCGCGUGAGUGAUGAAGGCCUUCGGGUUGUAAAGCUCUUUAGCCGAUGAUUAUAAUGACUGUAGUCGGAAAAUAAGCCCCGGCUAACUUCGUGCCAGCAGCCGCGGUAAUACGAAGGGGGCGAGCGUUAUUCGGAAUCACCGGGCGUAAAGCGUGCGUAGGCGGCUUUGCAAGUUGGGAGUGAAAGCCCAGGGCUCAACCCUGGAAUUGCUCUCAAAACUGCAAGGCUCGAAUUCGGGAGAGGAUAGCGGAAUUGUCAGUGUAGCAGUGAAAUGCGUAGAUAUUGACAGGAACACCAGUGGCGUAAGCGGCUAUCUGGACCGAUAUUGACGCUGAGGCACGAAAGCGUGGGGAUCAAACAGGAUUAGAAACCCUAGUAGUCC